CGCUGGGACCGCCAUGUCCUUUAGCUUGUGGAAGUCCUCCCGAUCAUCGACCUCCACUCGGCUAUUAUCGUUGGGAUCGGUUGGUGGAUCGCCCCAAUGGGAAGAAAAACCCCAAGGAAGAGUGGAAGAAGCAAAGAAAAAUUGGUUCUUCCAUCCAUGAAUGGACGAUAGAAGUUCGGUAAUAAAGGAAAGACCUUUGUGGGGGUUGAAGAACCACCACCCUCGGGCCUUAAGGUG
rnacentral:lncRNA from 1 species